rnacentral:rRNA from 1 species
GGGCCCGCACAAGCGGUGGAGCAUGUGGUUUAAUUCGAUGAUACGCGAGGAACCUUACCAGGGCUUAAAUGUAGUCUGACAGGGGUGGAAACACCCCCUCCUUCGGACUCAUUACAAGGUGCUGCAUGGUUGUCGUCAGCUCGUGCCGUGAGGUGUCAGGUUAAGUCCUAUAACGAGCGCAACCCCUAUCGUUAGUUGCCAGCAGUUCGGCUGGGCACUCUAUGGAAACUGCCCGUGAUAAGCGGGAGGAAGGUGUGGAUGACGUCAAGUCCUCAUGGCCCUUACGGGUUGGGCUACACACGUGCUACAAUGGUAGUGACAAUGGGUUAAUCCCAAAAAGCUAUCUCAGUUCGGAUUGUCGUCUGCAACUCGACGGCAUG